GUCCGACAUUAGCAGUGUUUGGCAUGCACCACACAUUCAAUAACUCCGAAGAUGGAACUUUUGUAGGAUCGAUUGCACCCCUUAAUGGUCUUGGAUCAUUUACUCCAGUGUCACUCCAUCCAUAAGCUGUCCCACCACCAGCAACACCUUCAACUGGUGGAACAACCAUCUCCUGGUGGUCCCCGGAGUUCUCCAUCAGUGUAGGUACGAAGGUAGAGAGAGUUUCCGCUAUCGAUUUCCAGUUUCCAGGUUAUGAUCGUGCUUUGUGACUACACACAGAUGAAAUGACAGUAGUCGAUACUCUA
rnacentral:misc_RNA from 1 species